AAUGGCCUUAAGUUUUUCCACAGGAGGUUCGGGAUGGAUAUUACAAAAGAUUUCUUUUCAGAAGGAUUGAUCAGACAUUGGCAUAUGAUUCCAGAGAGGUUAUGGAGUCACCAUCCCUGGAGGUUCUCAAGAAAAGGGAAUUGUGGCACUGAGAGAAAUGAUUAGUGGACAUGCUGAGGAUGGGUUGGAGUUGGACUUGGUGAUCUUAAAAGUUGUUUCCAAUCAUAAUGAUUCUGUGGUUCUAUGAUUUUUCAGCAGGUAUUAGCAUGGAAGAAAUGAAAACGGUCCAAGUUGGAUUCUGCCUUCCACACAACUGCUGAGGGAAGUGGUCCUCACCCUGCUCAUCCCUGAAUGCAUCUGUGAGGAAUUGGCACUCCUUCUGUAUCCGCUCCUCCAGACUCCUCUUCCCCAGGCCAAGGUUUCAGAGGGUGGUCAAGGUGAACCUUCUCUGCUGCUUCUACAGGUGCCCAUUGGAGGACAGCAGCCCUCGCAGAAGCAUUUCACAGUGAGCAAAGUAAGAUGUUCUCAGCAAGGGGAAGAAACUGGAGGACAUCUGCCUUGAGAAACGAGGAGGAGCUGUGAAAGUAGCUGUGUUCAGAAUGAAUGUGAAGCUACAACAUUUCCCCCAACUUUCCUCCUCAUAUGUCCAAAAGAACGAUGCUUUCACUGUGUUUCAGGGAAGGACAGGAAGAUUUGAAAUGGAAAUCGGGCAAGCUGAGCCUGGGAGAGUGAUUGGAUAAAUAUUGAUUGUGUGCAGUCUUCUUCCUUGUUUCCUGAAUCAGUAUUCAGAAGUAGAUGUAAAACCUUCCAGGCUGCAUUUUUGAGGCUUUGCAAGACUCAGGUGAGC
rnacentral:lncRNA from 1 species